rnacentral:misc_RNA from 1 species
GUAAAAUGAAGGGAAAAAAAAAAGUAGAUAAGGUGAUUGAUUUGAAUGUGAAGAAACAUGAAUAUUUUAGAAGAAUUUGAUGCAAAAUGAAGGAUUGCAUGAGAUCAUUUGCUAGCCUUCAAGUGGGAGAAUUACUUUAUUGCAGCUUUGCGUCCUUAUUGGAUAAAUUUUGUUCUUCAUCAUUGUUACAGAUCAGACCUGCACACCUUUGAAAGUCAAGAUAACCAAAGAAGAAAUAGAUUGGAUGAGAAAAGA